rnacentral:rRNA from 1 species
AGAGCGAACGCUGGCGGCAGGCCUAACACAUGCAAGUCGAACGGACUCUUCGGAGUUAGUGGCGGACGGGUGAGUAACACGUGGGAACGUGCCUUUUGGUUCGGAAUAGCUCCUGGAAACGGGUGGUAAUGCCGAAUGUGCCCUUCGGGGAAAGAUUUAUCGCCAUUAGAGCGGCCCGCGUCUGAUUAGCUAGUUGGUGAGGUAAAGGCUCACCAAGGCUACGAUCAGUAGCUGGUCUGAGAGGAUGACCAGCCACAUUGGGACUGAGACACGGCCCAAACUCCUACGGGAGGCAGCAGUGGGGAAUCUUGCGCAAUGGGCGAAAGCCUGACGCAGCCAUGCCGCGUGUAUGAUGAAGGUCUUAGGAUUGUAAAAUACUUUCACCGGUGAAGAUAAUGACUGUAGCCGGAGAAGAAGCCCCGGCUAACUUCGUGCCAGCAGCCGC